rnacentral:rRNA from 1 species
UAGCGCACGGGUGAGUAACACGUAGAUAAUCUACCUUCGAUUUUGGGAUAACCAUCCGAAAGGAUGGCUAAUACCGGAUAAAGUUGACACAUGAGAAUGUAUUAAUGAAAGAUAGCCAAUGCUUGCAAGCUAUUGAUUGGAGAUGAGUCUGCGGACCAUUAGCUAGUUGGUGGGGUAAGAGCCUACCAAGGCUACGAUGGUUAGCUGGUCUGAGAGGAUGAUCAGUCACACUGGAACUGGAACACGGUCCAGACUCCUACGGGAGGCAGCAGUGAGGAAUUUUGCGCAAUGGGGGAAACCCUGACGCAGCAACGCCGCGUGAGUGAAGAAGGCCUUUGGGUCGUAAAGCUCUGUCAACUGGGAAGAAGUUGUAGUUAUCCAAUAGGCAACUACAUUGACGGUACCAGUGGAGGAAGCGCCGGCUAACUCCGUGCCAGCAGCCGCGGUAACACGGGGGGCGCAAGCGUUAUUCGGAAUUAUUGGGCGUAAAGGGCGUGUAGGCGGUCUUAUCGGUCAGAUGUGAAAGCCCAGGGCUCAACCCUGGACGUGCAUUUGAAACAGUAAGACUUGAGUACUGGAGAGGAAAGCGGAAUUCCUGGUGUAGAGGUGAAAUUCGUAGAUAUCAGGAGGAACACCGAUGGCGAAGGCAGCUUUCUGGACAGAAACUGACGCUGAUGCGCGAAGGCGUGGGUAGCGAACAGGAUUAGAUACCCUGGUAGUCCACGCAGUAAACGAUGUACACUAGGUGUAGG